rnacentral:rRNA from 1 species
GAUAAACGCUGGCGGCGCACAUAAGACAUGCAAGUCGAACGGAAGUCGUAAUUCAAAUAGAGUGAAGAUUUAUCGGAGCAAAGUUUAAAUUACAAUGGCUUUAGUGGCGGACUGGUGAGUAAUGUAUAAGUAACCUGCCUAUUAGAGGGGAACAACAGUUGGAAACAGCUGCUAAUACCGCAUAUGCCAUAAGAAUCGCAUGGUUCAAGUGGGAAAGGAGAAAUCCGCUGAUAGAUGGACUUAUAUCUGAUUAGCUAGUUGGUGUGGUAACGGCAUACCAAGGCGACGAUCAGUAGCCGGACUGAGAGGUUAGACGGCCACAUUGGGACUGAGAUACGGCCCAGACUCC